GCGAGAGGGGGAGUGCUCCGCCGACAUGGCUGGCUCGGUUCCUUACCUCGUCGCCCCGAAGGCCACGGCACGCAUGGCCUCCUUGGCCCCCGCGUCGCGGCCUCCGUCGAGGACGUAGGGGUCCCAAUGGGCUUCCACGGCCUGAGGAGGAGCUCUCGAUCUCGCUCCGCCCGGCUGGUCUCUGCUUCCGGAUCUCCUUCAAGAAGUUUCGUUGUCAAAGCCUUAUCCGAGAGCCACUUGCCAUUAGUGGUGAAUAAAGCACCGGAUUUCGAGGCCGAAGCUGUUUUUGAUGAGGAGUUCAUAAAGGUUGCAGAAUGCUUGACACAGCUGCAAUCACAUUGUUGCUGAGUUUAGGAUCUGGCUUCAUCGACUUCUCUCUAGGUUUCCAUCCAGCAGAGCAAGCCUCGUCUGGCUCUCUUGAACAUACUGCAGUGCCUGCAAGACAGGAAAAGCUACUGCACUGUAUGACAUGUAUUGAACAAUCACAGCUAGAUCAAGAAUUUAAACAACUGCAAAGAGGAGACAUCCCUCUAAGAGACUAACAAUGCCAAGGAAGAAAUUGCAGGUGGUUUAUAGCUUAUUCUGUAGUUAAAAUCCUGUCUUAUGUUUGGAAAAUGGCAGUCACAUUGUCUGACAUAGUAUGUGAAGUUUGAAGCUCUAACAUUUUUUUGUGUAAG